CUGCUUGGAUAAUCUGGAUUAUAUGGCAAUGUAGAAGGGGCUUACAUUUUUCCAAUUGUCUAUGGCCCCUUCUACAUUGCCAUAUAAUCCAGAUUUUCCAAGCAGAUAAUCCACAUUAUCUUCUUUGGAUUAUCUGAAUCCACACUGCCAUAUAACCCUGAAUAUCAAGGCAGGUAUCAGGGCAAUAUCUGCUUUGAAUUGAGGGCCCUUCCACACAGAAGGAGCCCCGGUGGCGAAGUGUGUUAAAGCACUGAGCUGCUGAACUUGCAGACAGAACCCCGGGAGCGGCGUGAGCGACCGCUGUUAGCUCCAGCUCCUGCCAACCUAGCAGUUCGAAAACAUGUCAAUGAGAGUAGAUAAAUAGGUACCGCUCCAGCAGGAAGGUAAUGGAGUUCCAUGCAGUCAUGCCGACCACAUGACCUUGGAGGUGUCUACGGACAACGCCGGCUCUUUGGCUUAGAAAUGGAGUUGAGGACCAACCCCCAGAGUCAGACAUGACUGGACUUAACAUCUGGGGAAACCCUUACCUUUUUACCACACAGCUGUAUAAAAUCUCACAUUACUUGCUUUGAACUGGAAUGUAUAGCAGUGUGGACUCGGAUAACCCAGUUCAAAGCAGCUAUUGUGGGAUUUUGUGCCUUCAUAUUCUGGGUUAUAUGGCUGUGUGGCAUGUCCCUGAGUCCACACUGCCAUAUAUCCCAGCAGAUAAUGUGAGAUUUUAUUCAGCUGUGUGGAAGAGCCCACACAGCUCUAUAUCCCAGAGUAUCAAGGCAGAAAAUCCCACAUUAUCUGAGUGUGGACUCAGAUAACUCAGUACGAAGCAGAUAUUGUGGGAUUUUCUGCCCUGAUAUUCAGAGAUAUAGGGCUGUGUGGACGGGUCCUGGGUCUAUGCUGCUAUAUAAUCCAGUUCAAAGCAGAUAAUCUGGAUUUUUAGUCUGUGCGGAAGGGGCCUUUAUUUCAAAUUUCUGUAAACUUUGCCACUCACCAAAGCCUGCUCAGCCUGCUCUCCAGGACUUGGGUUCUGUUUUGGCAACAGAAGGAAAAAUAUUGUGCAAAUAACAGAAACAGAAGACAUUCAACUGGAAAAGAAAGUUAAAAUUCAAGUUUAGUGUUGACAUUCACUUACAGUCAUGGGGGGGGGUCAUUUGUAGCAAAUUACAAACUUGAGCCCUCCAGAUGUUUUGGACUGCAACUCCCACAAUUCCUAACAGCCUACCGGCUGUUAGGAAUUGUGGGAGUUGAAGUCCAAACCAUCUGGAGGGCCCAAGUUUGCCCAGGCCUGGCAUAGAGGCGCACAAUGAGGGAGUUUCUGAAGUGCUGGUGCUUCCCUCUGAGGGGACAAUCCUUGGGGCGGCCUACCUCUCUCCCAAGAUGGCGGCGGCCCCGCCUCCUCCACUUCUGUGGGGCGGGAUGAUGGCGCCUCCUCCUCCUCCUCUCCCUCUCCUUCUCCGGGCGGGGCAGCGGGACUUCCAGCAGCAGCAACAGCAGCACCCGACGGAGCGGGAGGAGAGGAAGGAGAGCCGGGCAGGAGGGCGCUCUUCGGCUUCUCCCCCUGGAACACAUAUCACGUGAGACUGUUUGUGGUGGAAGUAAAAGUGAAAAGAAAAGGCAUGUGUAUUGGCUUUCUGCUUCCAGGCUAGAGAGAUUUCAUGGUGGUGUGUGAUUGUUUUGCAUCAGAAGAAGGCCGGGAACUUCCUGAGCCUGUCAACAAGAUUGGCUAAGCAAGUAGAUUCAAGUUUGAAGGAAGUUAGCUGUGUAAUGUCUUGGGCCUGCCCUAGGUGAUGUUCACAUCCUUGCUUUUUUACUCCCUUUUCUUUUAAAUAUUUUGUUUGCAUCCUCAUGCUAAUGAGUUAAAAAGUGAUCAACUUUUAAUAAGAAAUUAUAUUUAUUUUUAGAUCUUCUUGUUGUCUGCUUUUAAGUUGUUUCCAACAUGGCAACGAACCUAUCAUUGUUCUUUUUUCUGGUAAGAUUUGUUCAAAGGUUGAGAGAAUGUGAUUUGCCCCAGGACUUCAGUGGUAAUUCAGUGCUCAAGCCACUAUCUAUCUGUAAUUUAAAUUUUAUUUACUUCUGAAUGUAGAAGAGUAAUACCUGCUAAAAGAAAACUUAAGAUUGUUCCUUACAUUACUAUACAAAUGCACACUUUAAAAAGUUUGUAUUAUUAGUGUGAUCAUGCCAGGAACAAAUCCACAACAUGAUAAAAGUGCAGGUAUAAUCCACACAUUCAACUGAAUUCUAAAGAGAACCCCAGAUUUUGUCAUUUUAUAUAAAGGACAACACUUUAGUAGUCAUUGAACAUAAUGGGUUUUGGGCAUGGUCAGAUUUGAUAUCCAUGGGGGUCCAGGAACCAAGGGCUCUCAUGUUUGCUUAAAAAAACACAAAAAAUAACAUAAAUGGGUCAGUCUGUUCCAGUUUCCUGUUAUUGUGAUAAUCAGCUUCUUUUAAAAUGUUGCUUGGCCUGUAAAUAAUUUUCUUUUUCUGUAUUUACUGUAUGUGUAUAUAUUUCUAUAAACAUAUAUAAGCAGACAAAUAUAUUCCUGAUUGUUGUUGGUGUUGGUGGGUGUUGAUUUCCAAGUCACCUACCCUAACGUCAGCAGCUCAGCUCAAGCCUUGCAGAUUCAGAGCUGUGGUUUCCUUGAUUGAGUCUAUCCACCUGGGAUGCGAUAUUCUUUUUGUGCUGCCUUCUACCUUGCUGAGCAUUAUUGUUUUUUCCAGUGAGCUGUGUUUUCUCAUGAUUUGACCAAAGUGCGACCGUUUCAUUGUUCAGGCUAGAAUUGCUUUUUUUUUUUCUUUUUUAACAGUCCACAGUAUUAAUCUGUAGUACUAUUCUCUGCAACUGCAUUUCAAAUUAGUUGAUUCCUUCCCUAUCUGCUCUUUUCAACUUUCUUGCUUUCACAACCAUACAUAGAAAUGGAAAGUAUGAUGGCUUGUUUUCUUAAUGUAAAAUUGUUUUUGCACUUUUUUAAACAGUUAUUCCAAGCUUAAUAGUUUCUGCUAGUAGAAUGGUGUCAUUUACAUAUUUUAAAUUGUAAAUGUUCCUUUAAUUUUCACACUCUUUAAUCAUGCUUUACAUAUGAUAUAUUUUAUUAAGUUGUUUUUAUUUAGUUAUUUGCAGACUUGUGAAGCUAUAAUUGGUUAUUUAAUCUCCAAAAAGUGUAUUUUUCUGCAAGGACUAGGAUUCUAAAUGUUUGGUUAGAUGAUGUCCAAGUCAGAUAGUUGUGUUAUUAAGACAAAUAAAGUAUACCCUUGAAGUGUUCAGGAAACAAUGACAAAGUUCCUUGAGUCAGACUGUGUAGUACCUACUUAUCAUAGCAAUAGCAGUGAUAUCACAAAUUCGGGUAGGCUGAAAUUGCAGUGGGAGACUCAGUGAUUUCAUAGGCUUAGCAUAUAUUGGUCCUCCCAGGAAGGAGGAAUUGUGAAAGUGUGGGUGACUUACUGAAGCCCAAUGUGGGUAUUACUUGUCCAGCAGAAUGAAUUUUAAAGUAACCCAUAAUCUUUUCAAUUAAUGCUAUUCCCUUCAAAGAGUAGAAAACACAUAUUGGAGCUUCAUGGGUAUUUUUGAAAAAGUUUCACACACAUUUUAAAUUCCUACCAAGAUCUUACACUAUGCAUUGUGUCCUUCGCUAUGCCCCAAACAUUCUUAUGCAGGUGCAUAUGUGAAAAACUUUACUAAUUCAAUCACAGUAAAUCUAUUUAAUCAAAGAGACCCGUACAAGUCUCAAUGUCUCAGGAUAUAGGGCAGUAUAGAUCCAGCCUAAGAGACCAAGGAUCAGAUCUCCAUUCAGGCAAAGAGACCUACUGGCUAACUUUGGGCAAGUAACUCCUUCAGUCUUAGAGGAAAGCAAUGGCUAAUCUCUGAAUAAAUCUUUCAGAAAACCUAUGAUAGGGUUUCAGUAAGACAGAAUUAUUUUGGAGGCAUAUAACAAACAGUAAUGGAUAUGUAUGUGUAAUGCACUGUGGACUAGGACAGUGCUUCUUAUGCUAUGUGGACCCUCAAGUCUGUACCCAUUGGGUACAGUUGUUUCUUUCUUUUCUAGAUACUUGUUAGAGACCAGCGGCCAAUUGUGCAGGUAAUAACUAGUGUUAGUCUUAAGAGAACUUUAAAUAAUGCUGUACUAGGAUAUUGAUACUGGCAUUAAAUAAGGGAAAACAUACAAUAACUUCCAUCCUUCCCUAAAAUAGGCAGUCAAACUGCAUUAGUAUAAAUCUGGUACUAUUUGUGAGAGGAACUCACAGCCCAAACUUAUUUUAUUGGAGCUGCUUUGUUUCUUAUUUGGAACAAUUUGCAGAUCUAUAAAAGCUUGACUCACCUUUUACUGAAGUAGAUUUUUCUGCUUAAAUUUCCUUUGGCAUUGAACAAUCCUUGUGCAGAAAGGACAGUUCCAUUGUCUGAGAAAGUAUAUAUAUAUACAGUGUAUAUAUUUGUAAUUGGAUGCUGUUCUAUUCUGCUUUGGUCAGACCUCUCUUGGAAUACUGUGUUCAGAUGAAGGUGACUAAAAAUCUAGAAAUGGUGCCCUUUGAGUAGUAGCUUAAAGAGUUGGGUAUGUUUAGCCUACAAAAGAUAAGGAUGAGAAGAGACAUGAUAGCCAUAGUUUAAUAUUUGAAAGGCCGCCAUAAGGAAAAGGGAGCAGAGCAGACCUGUUUUCUGCUGCCCUGGAGACUAGGACUUGGAACAAUAGGUUCAAAUUCCAGGAAAGGAGAUUCCACCUGAACAUUAGGAAAAACUUCCUGACCGCGAGAGCUGUUCCAGAGUGGAACUCACUGCAUCAGAAUGUGGUGGAGGCUUCUUAUUUGGAGGUUUUGAAACAGAGGCUGGAGGACCAUCUCUUGAGGGUGCUUUUAUUGUGCUUUUCCUGCAUACGAAGGGGUUGGAUUGGAUGGCCCAUGUGGUAUUUUCCAACUCUGUGAUUCUAUGUAUACUAUAAAUACUUUUAAUAAUUUCCUUAUGGAUCUUUAUUCACUGGAUAACAAAACAAAGUUGAAAUAUUUUCCUUGGAUCUGUUACAUGGUUUAUUUUUCUUGAACUUUAUUUUGGAAAGUCAAACUGAUGCUAACUCUAUUAGUAAAACGUCCAUUAAUUGUGUUACCAUUUUUAAAAAGCCACUUAAAUUAGCCCUUGUAUGUGAUGUCUGUUUGCAUUUUUUCAUAUGCAUUGUUUGUAUGUGCUUUGAAAUUGUGAGUUAUAGUGACCCUAUGAAUUUCCUAGCUUCAGACAAUAGUUUUUCUGGUUCCCAGUCUUUUGAUUUGUAAUACAAAUCUAUUUUCACAUUGUCCCUAAAUUAUGCAGCAUGUUCUUCAGAUCUUAUUAUGAGACUAUGGUUAGUUAAUUUUUGAUUUUAGCACUUACCAUUUUUUUUCAAAUCAGCAGUCAAAUUGUGACAUGAUUUGUGUCACAAUCUGCUUCUGGUAUUUGCAGAGAGAAUGAAGUUUCUCCAUCUUCUUCCCAUUAUACAGUCUAUUUGAUUUCUGUAUUGACUAUCAGGUUGUGUCCAUGUGUAUAGUUAUCUCUUUGAUUGCUUGAACAACUGUUGGAUUCACAAAAUUAACUCAGUCUCUCUUCUGCUUCAUGUUUUGAUCCUAAGCCAAAUUUCCUAUAACCUUUGAUUCUGUUUUGUUUUUUACUUAUGCAUUCUAAUUGCCCAUGAGUCACAAGUCCGGUUUUGGCAUGUAUCCAGUACAGAAUAUUUCAGUUUUUUCUGUCUCUGCAAUUGGAGAACGCUCAUCAAUUUGGGCAAACUUUUGUUGUAUUUUAUGUGUGUUGUGUUGCACUUUUGUUGCCAUGUAAGCCGCCCAGAUUCUCUUCUGGGAGAUGGUGGUGGAAUAUAAAUAAAGAUAUUAACUUGAAUUAUUAUUGUAUUGAUUGGUUUUUACUGAAGCCUUGUUAUGAUUUAGUAAGACAUUGCAUUAUAUCCUUUGACUAUUUUUGUUACAUCUCUACCCACUAUUAAUGCCAUGCCAUUUACUGAGGAAAACACUUUCCUUGAAGUUUCUAGUCUUUGAAGUGUCUUAGGCUAAAAUGUAUGUUUUUGUGGUUUUUUUUCCAGUAAAGUAUAUAUCCCCUUUCCCAGUUUUCACAUCUAUAUUUAAGACUGAGGUGUUCCUUCAAGCAUAGUUAAAAGGUUCAGUUUUAACUGUGCAAGAUAAGGGGAUAUAAAUAUGGUAUAGAAUGCUUUGGGAUCACUAAACUGAACCAAAUAGUGUAUAUUAACUUGGAGUCUUUGGCUAAAUUUUUCAAAUUCUCCAUGCCAUCAAAAAAUGAGCUCAGUAAAUUAUAUUCAUUCACACACACAAGCACACACAGGAUUUGUUUGGCACUUUUUCUAGAACAGGGAUGAGGAUUGUAUUCCCUUCCAGAUCUUGUUGCAGUUCUCAUUAGGGUGACUCCCACUUCUGGGGAAAAUAUAGGAUAGAAAUAAAAUAAAUAAAAUUAACUGUCCUAGCCUUCAAAGCCAAUGUUGAAAGAUGAUGGGAGUUGCAAUUCAAUCUAUGAUGGCAUUUUGUCUUCUUUCUUUUAGAGAAUAAUUCCAUUAGUUUUUAUUUUAAUGCCUACUAUUUACCAAGUUACUAUAGCAGCUUACAAAACUUAAAAAUUAAAACAAGUUAUAGUGAAAGCAUUAGAUACCACAUUUAUGUGAUUCCAUUUUCAAAUCCAGUUUGUGAAUGUUUCAGUAAUGGCAUCAUUUGUUUCCAUAACCUACUUAAAUUUGUUAUGAUGAUGAUACUUUGUCAUGUAAUUAUUUUUCUUAUAAGGACUCUAAUGAAAAUGUAUUCAGGUGAAUAUGCUGCACCUACAGUGAUUAAUGUUGGAAUGAAAUGGAGAAUAUGUGUAUAUACCGUAUGAAGUCCCUAUAUGUUUUGAUGGCUUUGUAAGGGCGGCAUUUUUGUCUCAUGCUGGUGAUAGAUAUAUUGAAAAGGUUUUAGCAGUCACAUUGUAGGUGUGACAGAUUUUUACUCUUGGAGUGACUAUUCCUGCCAUUAGAGGGAUGUUCUGAAUGAUCUUUUUGUGAAGUAUUGGUCCUUCUCUUCUACAGAUAAAGAAUUGAAGGUUACAGACUACUUUCUUUUUCAGUGACUAUUAAAAGCUUGGUUGAGUUUCUGUAGUGAAACAUUAAACCUAUGAAAUAGGAUCUUUCAUGAUCGUCCCCUGAGAGUGUUUCAGAGCCAUGGAGAAAGCAGAUGUCAUGGCUAUGAGUGUUUGUGUGUGACUUCAGGUUGCCUGUUGACUUGGGGUAUUUGAGCCCAUGGCUAUUUCCCUUUCUCUUAUACUGGAUAGGCCAAAAGUCACUAAAGGAUUUCAGUAUUAAUAACUACUUUAUUUUUUGUUUUUAAUUUACAAUACCAUAGUAUCAUAUGCAUGAAAUACAUUUACAUUAUGUGUGACAAAUCAGAUCUCAUCCAAUAUUAUUCAUCAUAUCUAUAUAUAUAAAAGGAUAAAAAAAAUUCGGCCUAGGACAAAACAACAAAACUACACAUCCCAGAAACACUAAAUUUGGCAACACAACCCCUCAUCCAUGCCUCUACGUUCAUACAACAAAAAGAAAAGAAAAAUAAAGUCCUAAUUAGAGGUAGAGGAAUAAUUGUUUUUUAUCCAAUUGCUGCCAGUUACAAGGCUAAACUCUGCCCACUUGGUCUCCUAGCAACCUACUCAGCCCAGGGACAGGCACAGUUAGUCCUCAGGCCUCUUCCACACUGCCUAUAAAAUACAGAUUAUCUGAUUUUAACUGGAUUAUAUGGCAGUGUAGACUCAAGGCCCUUCCACACAGCUAUAAUACCCAUUUAUAAUCUUAUAUUAUCUGCUUUGAACUGGAUUAUCUUGAGUCCACACUGCCAGAUAAUUCACUUUAGUGUGCAUUUUAUACAGCUGUGUAGAAGGGGCCUCAUAUAAUCCAGUUCUAAGCAGAUAAUAUAAGAUUAUAAAUAUACAGUAGAGUCUCACUUAUCCAACAUAAACAGGCCGGCAGAACGUUGGAUAAGUGAAUAUGUUGGAUAAUAAGGGAUUCAGGAAAAGCUGAUUAAACAUCAAAUUAGGUAAUGAUUAUGCAAAUUAAGCACCAAGCAUUAUGUUAUACAAGCAUUAUAAGCACCAAGCAUUAUAUUCUACUGUAAUAUGAAAUAAUUACUGUGGUAAUCCAGUCCAACCCAAUUCUUCCAUGGAGGACACAAUCCAAGCACGCCCAACAGAUGGCCGCUCUCAAUAAUAAUAAUAAUAAUAAUAAUAAUAAUAAUAAUAAUAAUAAUAAUAAUAUCAUACAGUCAUAUGGUUAGGAGACACCCCUAAGGAUCAUCCAGUUCCACUUCCUUCUACCAUGCAGGACGACACAAACCAAGCACUCCUGACAGAUGGCCAUCCAAGGUCUGCACAGUAAUAAUACAAAUCGAAUAAUAGAAUCAGAUAGUUAGGAGAGACCCCUAAAGGCCAUCCAGUCCAACCCAACUCUGUCAUUGGACGAUACAAUCCAAGCACUCCCAACAGAUGGCCAGCCAGCCUCUUAAUAAUAAUAAUAAUAAUAAUAAUAAUAAUAAUAAUAAUAAUAAUAAUAAUAAUAAUAUCAUACAAUCCUAAGGUUAGCAGAUACCCCCCUAAGGACCAUCCAGUUCAACUUCCUUAUAUCAUGUAGGAGGACACAAUCCAAUCACUCCUGACAGAUGGCCAUCCAAUAUCAGCACAAUAAUAAUACACAUCGAAUCAUAGCAUCAGACAGUUAGGAGACACCCCUAAAGGCCAUCCAGUCCAACCCAAUUCUGCCAUGCAGGACACAAUCCAAGCACUCCCAACAGAUGGCCACCCAGCCUCUCAAUACUAAUACUAAUAAUAACAACAACAACAACAUCAUACAAUCCUAAGGUUUGGAGUGACCCGUAAGGAUCAUCCAGAUCAACUUCCUUCUACCAUACAGGAGGACACAAUCCAAGCACUCCUGACAGAUGGCCAUCCAGCCUCUACAUAAUAAUGAUGAUGAAGAUGAUGAUGAUGAUGAUAAUAAUAAUAAUAAUAAUAAUAAUAAUAAUAAUAGAAGCAUAGAAUCCAAGAGUUUGGAGAGAUCCCUAAGGGCCAUCCAGCCCAACCCUUUAUACUAUGCAGCAGGACACAAUCAAAGCAUUCACAACACAUGGACAACGUAUAAAUACUAUACAAUACUACACAGGGACAUAGACCCCCUCUACCCUCACCACUUUCACAGUACACAAACAACCAAAUGCAUACUAAACAUAAAGACAACCAUACAAUAGACAUUCAAUACCACCGUUACCUCAACAAGUUCUCACCAAUACCACCAGACAAUACCACAGCAACGCGUGGCCGGGCACAGCCAGUACAAUAUAUAUUAGACCCCCUUUAGCCCACCCUGUACAUAUGAGACCUUCAGAUGUUUUUGUGUGUUCAGGAUUGUUUUCAUUUCCUAGAUUUUUUCGCCUGUGGUAACAUUACAUUCUUGUUGUGUUCCUGUAAAGCUCUGCCUUUACAAAUAGUUGACAUGCAGUUGGAUAAGGAUUUAUAAUUCAGAAAUAGCAAUUUCUUUAAAGGAAGGCUGGAUCAAUUCAAUCUUUCUUACGAACUAUCAGACUGUAUAAUACUAUGCAGCACAUCAUUAAAAGAAAUAUGGAUAAGGUACAAGUGCUUUGAGGACAUCAUUAGGACCAGAUGGGCAGUGGUUCUUGCUUUUUCAGAAUUCUCACAGGAGCAAUACAGUCAAUCUAGCAUGAAAUACACAUGGACUUUUCUUGCUCUACAGUUAGAAUUGUAAGAUGCCUUACCUUACUUUGUUUCAAAAUGGAUGAGGUAACUUGGAAUUAAGCUAUGUUUGUGGGCUUGUUCGUUGGCCAUCUCUACUCUGUACCAUAUCCCAUUUUUGUUUUUGAUUUGGUAAAAAGGCUUUUAAAAACCCCACCAUGGAAGAAAUAGCUAAAUCAGCUGAGAACCAUAAACUUGUUGUAACACUGGAGAGUUUGUAAUCUUGUAAAGUCUUCAAUGCAAAACAAUUUUUUGUGUGUGAAUCUUUCCAGGAAUUUCCACAGCCAAAUAAAGGAAAGCUGCUUCCUUGAAAAUUCUUACGAAUAGGAUAUUUUGUGAUACUGAGAAGCUUGAGAGAAUUUGGCUGAAGUAUGGUUUACUAGUACAAAACAAUCAAUAGAAAUUGAUUGAAAGCCCCCACAUGCGAGCUGCUAUUACUGCAAAGAAUUUUUAAAAAUUAAUUGUGCUAAAUGUAUGGUAUUCUACAUGAUGAUUAUUCCAUUUAAACUGGCUUGUGUAUCUUGUGUAUCAACAGGUCUUACAUAGAUCUUUGGCAUAGUAGUUACUUAGGUGAUCUCUUGUUGUCCGAGCAUGAUGGCCCUCCAAGUGUAGUGUUUUGGUGGUGGAUAUGUAGGUGACUGUAGAGCCCUGUUCUUGACCCGCAUAUUCUUCCACAGUGAGGGCACCAAUUUCCAGUGGAAGGCGGUCUCGGUCAGGUUUGGUUUGACAUGCCUUCCUCUUGGCAUGUUUCUCCCUCUAUUCAUGCCUCUUCAAAUUCCACAGCACUAUACACACAGACCUUAUAUUGGUGUUCAGUCUGCUGAGCUGAGCUAUGAAAGUGGGAGUAAGGGUGUAUGGCUGCAAAUUGAAACCUCAGUCCCACUGUUUCUGAUUUGUCCUUCAGGACACUUCAAAUCAACUUUAGGGAGGGGGCUUUAAAUGGUUCAGCCAGACAGGUCCUGGGCCUUACCAAACUACAAACCCCAGAAUUCUUCAGGAGGCAGAAACCGGAUUUGAAGUGGAUUCAUGUUCUUGUGUGAUGAGUCAGUAAGUCUUUGAUUUGCCUGUACUGAGUCAGGAGAUUUGAAGUGGUAAGUCUACUUUUGUUCAAUCAAGUUGAAUUGUAGCCCAGGUACAUAGAAUGCUACUUAGGUAUUAAAAAGAAGAAUACAUGGAUUGUACCCUCAGACUAAUUUUGGAGGAUGUAUAUAUUAUAAAGUGGCAUAGGGUUUAGGAUGUGUUGUAAAGAUUUUCAUUCUAUUGUUUCUCUUAGUGGUAUAUAUAGUAUGUCUUGAUUUCCUUUGUUUCUUCCACACACUGGUGCAUUGAGCUGAGUAUUAGAGGUCCAGCAAGGUCACUCAGUGAGUUUCAUAGUUAAGCCAAUAUUUGAACUUUCCCCUCUUCUGUUAAUGUAAUUUUAAUCUUGUACUAAACUAACAUGCUAUUAUCAUUAUUUAAAUUCGUUCUGCAAUCCACCUGCAUACUCAUGCAUGCCUAACUAGUAUAUUUGGUAUGUACUAUGGCAGAGAAAAGAGACAGGAGCAGUUUUGGAACAUUGUUUGUUCUACGGUACAAGUACAGCAGAUCUGCCAUAUCUGUUGACUUAACUAACAGUGGAUCCAUUUUUUUAAAAUACAGGGGUAUUGGCAUUGGAUGUUCUUGCUCAUUUGUUUUUGUGUCCUCUGGAAGCUAUUUUCUAUCCUGUGAUUGGUGGCUGAGGCAAGCAGCUUCUUCAGGGACACUCCCAAUUGAGAAUGAAUGAACCAAUAGCUCCAAGCUGUGACUCCCUUUCCAUUUUACUCCAAGAUGAAAUUUUCCAGAGAAGAUGAGAAGAGCAGAAUUAUUGGGUGAGAAGAUGAAUCGGGGCUUGGAAAUAUAGCUGGGUUAUCUUCGUACAGUGUGAGGAGUGAAGGCCUGGUGCAGGAGAAGAUACAGAGAGGAGCAGGGGAACAGAAAGAAUGCAUUGAUGAGACUUUGAAAUGUGUCUGGGGCAUCUUGGUGGAAGGUGGGAAGACUUAAGGCCAAUUACUGUGUUCCCAAAGAAGCUGCUCACUGCUGAAUGAAUGAUCAGAAGUACCAUUGCCUAUGAUGCCCUGUCCCCAGUGUUCAGGAUUUGUUGUGCUGCCUCCUCUUUUAUCCUUCACCCACGUUCACAUAGGGAUUUUUUUUAACAGUCUUUUAUCCUGUUUCCCCGAAAAUAAGACAUCCCCAGAAAAUAAGACCUAUUAGAGGUUUUGCUGAAUUACUAAAUAUAAGGCCUCCCCCGAAAGUAAGACCUAGCAAAGUUUUUGUUUGGAAGCAUGCCCAACGAACAGAACACCAGAGCAUGCAGAAUCGGGAAAUGUAUGUAUCAUAGAUUGCUGUAUAUGGAAAUAGUGGUAGUAACAAGAAUAUCUUGAUAGGAUUCACAGUUUGUCUGGUUAUGCUGGUUCGUGUUGACAACUACUGAACAGUGUAUAAUAAAUGUUCAUUUUUUUUGGUUCAAUAAUAAAUAUGAAUUCUUCUUCAUGGAAAAAUAAGACAUCCCCUGAAAGUAAGACCUAGCACAUCUUUGGGAGCAAAAAUUAAUAUAAGACACUGUCUUAUUUUCGGGGAAACACGGUAGGGUUUGGAAUUUGGUGCAGGGUAAUGAGACAGGGGGAGCCAAACUGUCGUGUUUUUGUGGCAGCGCGAGUGUUUCCCCAUACUUUUAAUGCCUAGGGCUUGUGAGGCUGGCAAAAUAGGUAUUGGAGGGGCCAUUCAUUACUUGUGCAUUGCACUUUCCCUGUCUCAAAGUUAAAGAGGAAGACAAUGACAAGUUCAGGAGUAUGAGGAAGAAGUCCUUUGGGAUAGGUGCCAAAUAUACAUAGUUAGCAUAAAGUAGAUCAGAUUGGGAAUUCAGACUGAAACAAGAUACAGUAGAGUCUCGCUUAUCCAGCCUUCACUUAUCCAAUGUUCUGUAUUAUCCAACGCAGUCUGCCUUUUAAUAGUCAAUGUUUUUGUUGUCAAUUUUCAAUGCAUUGCAAUGUUUUGGUGCAAAAUUUGUGAAUACAGUAAUUACUACUAACGUUACCAUGUAUUGAACUACUUUUUCUGUCGAUUUGUUGUAAAACAUGAUGUUUUGGUGCUUAAUUUGUAAAAAUCAUAAAGUCAUUUGGGCAAACAGAAGGUCAGCUGCCUGUCCUCCCAUCCUUUUUGCCUUGUUUUUAUUUAUGUUGCACUUUGAAAUGGUCAUAUGACUGGUCAAACAAAUAAAUUAUUAUUAUUAUUAUUAUUAUUA